GACGAACGCUGGCGGCGCGCUUAACACAUGCAAGUCGAACGGAAAGGCCUGCUUUCCCUUGUGGAUUGCGGGUACUCGAGUGUCGAACGGGUGAGUAACACGUGAGUUAUCUGCCCCCAACAUUGGUAUAAGCCUGGGAAACUGGGUCUAAUUCCCGAUAGGACUGCAGUGUGGUGCGUGUAGUGUAAAACGAUGUUUUAGCGGUUGGGGAUGAACUCGCGGCCUAUGAGCUUGUUGGUGGGGUAGUGGCCUACCAAGGCGUCGGCGGGUAGCCGGCCUGGGAGGGUGACCGGCCACAUUGGGGCUGAGAUACGGCCCAGACUCCUACGGGAGGCAGCAGUGGGGAAUAUUGCACAAUGGGCGGAAGCCUGAUGCAGCAACGCCGCGUGCGGGAUGACGGCCGUCGGGUUGGAAACCGCUUUCGCCUGUGACGAAGCGGGAGUGACGGUAAUGGGUAAAGAAGCACCGGCUAACUACGUG
rnacentral:rRNA from 1 species